ensembl:lncRNA
AUAUACAGACCCCAUAGGGACCCAUAGCGACCCCAAAGAGACCCAUGGUGACCCCAGAGAGACCCAUAGAGACCCAUGGUGACCCCAAAGAGACCCAUAGGGACCCAUAGAGCCCAAUAUUGAUCCAUAGAAACCCACAGAGACCCAUAGAGACCCAUAGAGCCCCAUAGGGACCCAUAGAGCCCAAUAGUGACCCAUAGAAACACACAGGGACCCAUAGGGACUCAUAGAGACCCAUAGAGAGACCCCAUAAAGACCCACAAAGACCCCAUAGAGACCCAGAGGGUCCCAUUGAGAGACCCAUAGGGACCCAUAGAGACCCAAAGUGACCCACAGGGACCCAUAGAGACCCACAAAUACCCAUAAACACCCAUAGAGACCCACAGAGACCCCAUAGAGACACAUAGGGACACAGAGAGAGACCCAUAGAGACCCAUAGGGACCCAUGGAGCCCAAUAGUGACCCAUAGAAACACACAGGGACCCAUAGGGACACAUAGAGACACAUGGAAACCCAGAGAGACCCACAGAGACCCCAUAGAGACCCACAGAGACCCCAUAGAGACCCAUAGAGACACAUAGAGAGACCCAUAGAGACCCACAGAGACCCACAGAGACCCCAGAGAGACCCAUAGAGACACAUAGGGACACAUAGAGAGACCCAUAGGGACCCAUAGAGACCCACAAAUACCCAUAAACACCCAUAGG